UUUUUGAGCUCUGACUCAAAUCAAAUCCUCUUCCUGUUUCCUAGCUCUAUAUAUAAACCCUACCAUUCUCCUGUCUCUCUUCAUCUCGUUCUUCCCACACACGCGCGCACACACACAUCUUGUGUGAGACUUGUAUGAUCGAUUGCUAGAGCUAUUUCGAUUCGUCACGUUAUACGCAUACGCGUUAUUAGCUUAGUUCAUUAGCUCAAGGUUAAUUAAUUAACGACAUGGCUGCUCGGUCGUCGUCGUCGCCGGCGAAGACGACGACGACGCUGGCUUUGCUGUUGGUGGUCGCGGCGGCGGCCGCUGCUGUGGCGGCGGAGGCGGCGGCCGUGGCGGCGGACGCGGCGCGGGGCGUCCGGCAAGUGAACCGGCGGGGCCCGUACCUGGGCGUGGUGGUGCCCAACGGGUUCGAGAUGGAGCCGCUCCUCCGCUCGCCGGCCUUCUCGCCGGCCAAGAAGCUGCCAUACCUCGACGUCGCAGGAAGGAGAUUUCGCUUCGGAUCGAUAGGAGAGAAGAAGGUGAUCAUCGUCAUGACAGGCCUCGGCAUGCUCAACUCCGGCGUGACCACCCAGCUCCUCCUCACCCUCUUCGACGUCGAGGGCAUCGUCCACUUCGGCAUCGCCGGCAACGCCGACCCCGACCUCCACAUCGGCGACGUCACCGUCCCCCGCUACUGGGCGCACACCGGACUCUGGAACUGGCAGCGGUACGGCGAUGGGCCGGAGAAGGAGCUCGCGCUGGAGUCCAAUGGCGACUACACGAGGAAGUACGGGGCGCUCAACUUCUCCGACUACGGCGUCGCCGGCGGCGGCGGCGGCAACCUGCUGAACGGCGUGUGGUACCAGCCGGAGGAGGUGUUCCCGGCGGACGGCACGCCGGAGUCUCGCCGCCACGAGUUCUGGGUCCCCGUCGACGGCCGGUACUACCAGCUCGCCCAGAAGCUGGAGGCGAUGCCGCUGGAGCGCUGCGUCAACCGCACCGGGACGGCGACGUCGCCGGCGACGUGCCUGGCGCGGGCGCCGGCGGUGGCGCGCGUGGAGCGCGGGUGCAGCGCCAGCGUGUUCGUGGACAACGCGGCGUACAGGCAGUUCCUGCGGUCCAGGCUGGGCGUGACGCCGAUCGACAUGGAGUCGGCCGCCGUCGCGCUGGUGGCGGCGCAGCAGGGGGCGCCGUUCAUCGCCAUACGGUCGCUCUCCGACCUCGCCGGCGGCGGCUCCGCGGAGUCCAACGAGGCCGGCGUGUUCGCGGCGCUGGCGGCGCAGAACGCGGUGGCCGUCGCCGUCAAGUUCAUAUCGCUCUUAAGCUAAGAAGCUGUCUUAACCAUCGUCGAUGAAGGUUGAGAAUGAUAACCCUAUAAUGACCACGGUGCCUGACAUGUCCUGUUGACCAAGCAAGACAGGCUCCGGACAAUACACAAGCAGUGACCAGGCCAAUCUACCAGAAGACAGCUGCGGCCUGCGACCCAGGUUUCCAAACCCUCGUGUCCAUGGGCCGGAGUGGGCCAAAUAGCUGAGCUGCAACAGGCUGGAAACCUGGGGAAAGGAUGAACUCGAACUGGAUUUUCUAGUGGAACAAGUCCCUCAAUUUGUCGCCGAGUUUGCAGUUCAUCCCUUAACUGAAAUAAGGUCUGUCUCUCAACUCGGAAAACCAUUACAAAUAAGGUCUCAAGAUGGUUUAAACGGCAGUUUUAGCUAACAUAGCGUCUAUGUGAAUGGUUUGACUUGAUCCUCAUCCCAUGUAGCGUUAAUGUGGUAUUAGAAUCAAAAUUUAAAAAUUUAAAUAAAUAUAUGGGCCCAUAUGUUAGUCAAAUAAAAACAUACAAAAAUAGUGUGUCCACUUCCUCCACCUCACCCAUUCUCUCUCCUCUCUAUCUCAUCCUUCCCAUCUCGCUGACAGCUUCAGCCCCACUGCUAGUCAUUGUCUUGCUCCUCCGAAUGGAAGUCCUGUGCACACCUGAGACCGACGCCGCCUGCUUCGCUCGAUCCAGCCACGCGUUUUCUCUCCCUCAAAAUUGAUUGAAUAUGGAAUUCCCUCGAUCUCCCCUUCUUUCCCCAAAAAAAGCCCUAGAAAUCUCGAAUUAAAUCUCGUGAAUUUUGCUCCAUUUCUAUCCGGUGAACUCGAAAGCGACAUGAACGGCACCCUAGCCUAGGCCCCGCGAAACACAUCACGCGCCUUGUGGUGCCGCCCCUCGGUGACUAGUGUCUCGAUGCCCGUGCAGAGGGAGGAGAGCGCGGCGGGACCCAGCUCCUUUCGCAGCCUAUGGUGGUUUACAACGGGCUGCUCCUCCAUCAGCCGCGAGAGAUGCAUGUAAGGCUUGAGGGCUUCUGCCGCCGACGACAACGAGGAGGAGGAGGCAGCAGAGGCGGUGGUGGUGGAGGUGGCCUUAGGAAAGUAGGCAGGGGAAGUGGAGGCGGGGGAAGCAGAGGGCGGCGAGAUGCAGCUCCAUGGAUGGGAAGGAGAUAGAGAGGAGAGAAGCAGUGAGGUCGAGGAAGUAUGGGUCCAACUAUAUUUUUUAUGUUUUUAUUUUAUUGACAAAUAGGCCCAUAUAUUUCAUUUUAAUUUUUUAUUUUUUUAAUGUCACGUGGGACAAGGAUCAAGUCAAACCAUCAACGUAGGUGUCAAGUCAGCUGAAACCGCAGUCCAAACCAUCCUGGGAGCUUAUUUGCAGUGGUUUUGGGAGUUGAGAGACGCAUUCUGUCAUGUUUUUCGGUUUAGGGAUGAAUUUCAGACUUGACGAAUUGUGAGGAACCUCAAGUAAACUUAUUCCUUUUCUAGUUAAUCAAAGUGAAUUCGUGAGAGAACCCAACAUUAACAUUGGCCUAUCGUGUACAAGAAUCGCUGGAAUUGCUACAGUGUAUGAAUUAGCCAUAGGUAUUAUCAUAAGCCUCACCUAUAUUAAAAAAACUCAUCAGCUCUCUUCAAUAUGUAGACCAAAGACAUAAUUUAUCUGA